AUUGAACGCUGGCGGCAUGCCUUACACAUGCAAGUCGAACGGAAACAGGUCUUCGGAUGCUGACGAGUGGCGAACGGGUGAGUAAUGCAUCGGAACGUGCCCAGUAGUGGGGGAUAGCCCGGCGAAAGCCGGAUUAAUACCGCAUACGACCUGAGGGUGAAAGGGGGGGAUCGCAAGACCUCUCGCUAUUGGAGCGGCCGAUGUCAGAUUAGCUAGUUGGUGGGGUAAAGGCCUACCAAGGCAACGAUCUGUAGUUGGUCUGAGAGGACGACCAGCCACACUGGGACUGAGACACGGCCCAGACUCCUGCGGGAGGCAGCAGUGGGGAAUUUUGGACAAUGGGCGCAAGCCUGAUCCAGCAAUGCCGCGUGCAGGAAGAAGGCCUUCGGGUUGUAAACUGCUUUUGUCAGGGAAGAAAUCUUCUGGGUUAAUACCUCGGGAGGAUGACGGUACCUGAAGAAUAAGCACCGGCUAACUACGUGCCAGCCGCCGCGGUAAUAC
rnacentral:rRNA from 1 species